rnacentral:rRNA from 1 species
GUGUCAGCAGCCGCGGUAAUACGUAGGAUGCAAGCGUUAUCCGGAAUUACUGGGCGUAAAGCGUCUGUAGGUGGUCUGUUAAGUAAAAUGUUAAAUUUAUGGGCUCAACUCAUAAACUGCAUUUUAUACUGGCAGACUUGAGGAUGGAAGAGGUAAGCGGAAUUACAGGUGGAGCGGUGAAAUGCGUAGAUAUCUGUAGGAACACCAAUGGCGAAGGCAGCUUACUGGGCCAUUCCUGACACUGAGAGACGAAAGCGUGGGGAGCAAACAGGAUUAGAUACCCUGGUAGUCCACGCCGUAAACGAUGAUCACUAGCUGUUCGAGGUGUCGACCCCUUGAGUAGCGAAGCUAACGCGUUAAGUGAUCCGCCUGGGGAGUACGGUCGCAAGACUAAA